AAAAAAAAAAAAAAAAAAAACAGAAGACAGAAUUUUGAUCUUCAUUUUCAAGUUCCUUCGAUAAGACAAUAACCUCCCCUCCCCUUCUCCCCACACCUAAUUCAACUAAUGGCUGCCUAACAAGAUCGAAGAUGCCCGAUUUCUGCCCUUCACAGUUCCUCUGGGAAACUGCAGGGUCCCAAGAAAAGGCCUGGCCCGGAGGGGGAGAAAAUAAGGAUCCUAAGAAAGGUGUAGCUUCUCUAGGAGUCGCUGAGCUGGAAGGGUAAAUGAAGGAGACACUGUGCAGCCGGACAGAACUUCCCAUGCUGGUGUGAGACUUCUCGGUGAUGCAGCUGUUUGGGGGUAACUCCCACUUCCACAAGCACCCUCGACUCAUGCUUUUGGCAAGCGUAACAAGCCUGGCAUUCACAUCCUUGGAGCCCUGAAGGAGUGAGUCACCCACCAGGCAUGAGGUCUUAGUUGUUCUUGAAGGUGAACUCCCAAACAGGUGCGCUCCCGCAGAGCUGAAGGGGAACAACUUUCCCACACACACAGCACAUCCACUGUAGUUCCAGUGACCGGAAGUCGGGGGCACUCUCCCGACUUCCAUGAUUAAGGUGUUCACAGGGUAAAGGUCCUGACAUCUUCCACACUGCACGUCCCUAGACCCAUAAGCUGACCAGCAUGACAAGCUGUUCUCCAAAUGGAGAAGAGUUUUUGUUAUUUUGUUGUUGUUGCUGCUGCCGCCGCUGUUCUUCCUAGCCUCAUCUAACUCCUGUUUCCUUACUCUCUGACCCCAUUCACUAUUAAAGCUUCAUUUUGGCCAA